GACGAACGCUGGCGGCGUGCUUAACACAUGCAAGUCGAACGGAAAGGCCCUGCUUUUGUGGGGUGCUCGAGUGGCGAACGGGUGAGUAACACGUGAGUAACCUGCCCUUGACUUUGGGAUAACUUCAGGAAACUGGGGCUAAUACCGGAUAGGAGCUCCUGCUGCAUGGUGCGGGUUGGAAAGUUUCGGCGGUUGGGGAUGGACUCGCGGCUUAUCAGCUUGUUGGUGGGGUAGUGGCUUACCAAGGCUUUGACGGGUAGCCGGCCUGAGAGGGUGACCGGCCACAUUGGGACUGAGAUACGGCCCAGACUCCUACGGGAGGCAGCAGUGGGGAAUAUUGCACAAUGGGCGGACGCCUGAUGCAGCAACGCCGCGUGCGGGAUGACGGCCUUCGUGUUGUAAACCGCUUUCGCCUGUGACGAAGCGUGAGUGACGGUAAUGGGUAAAGAAGCACCGGCUAACUACGUG
rnacentral:rRNA from 1 species